CUCGAGCAGAUCCGACAGCGCCAGAGCUGUAAAGGCAUCGCUGCAGUUCUGCUCUGACACCCGGACCCAGCACUGCAGUUGAAGCACCAAGGAGCUACCAUCAUCACGUGCCAUCAUAGCACAGUGGGAACUGAAAAGGAAAUCAGAUAUUCCACACAGUCCGAAUGGAAGAAUUUUGCUGUGGUGCACUUUUCGAUUGGGCUUCUACAGUUAACCUUCAGAAAUCUCUCACUUCCUCCUCACUUCUUAUUCCUUAAUAACAUUUUCACUAUGAGCACCUUUAUAUUGAAUUGCUGUAGUCAAAACAGAACCAAAAAGAUUUUAACACAGGCUCAAAACAACGAUUCCUCCUCCUCCGUCUCCAUCUCAGGCAGUGGCGAUAUGCCCACAGAUUACUCAAAGAAAGAAUCUCAGCGCUUGGCAGCCCACUUCCUGAAGUCAGAAACAAAUAACCUACAUUUACUGCAAAUGGUAUCGAGACGGCAGAGCUCUGAUAUCACGGAGUCAACGAUCUGGUCAAGUGGG
ensembl:lncRNA